UACGAAGGGGGCUAGCGUUGCUCGGAAUCACUGGGCGUAAAGGGCGCGUAGGUGGCGGCCCAAGUCCAUGGUGAAAGCUCGAUGCUCAACAUCGAGUCGGCCACGGAUACUGGGUUGCUCGAGCACUGUAGGGGCAGAUGGAAUUCCGGGUGUAGCGGUGGAAUGCGUAGAGAUCCGGAAGAACACCGGUGGCGAAGGCGGUCUGCUGGGCAGUUGCUGACACUGAGGCGCGACAGC
rnacentral:rRNA from 1 species